AGGAUGAACGCUAGCGGCAGGCCUAAUACAUGCAAGUCGGACGGGAUCCAUCGGAGAGCUUGCUCGAAGAUGGUGAGAGUGGCGCACGGGUGCGUAACGCGUGAGCAACCUACCUCUAUCAGGGGGAUAGCCUCUCGAAAGAGAGAUUAACACCGCAUAAUAUAAUUUCCCGGCAUCGAGGAAUUAUUAAAUAUUUAUAGGAUAGAGAUGGGCUCGCGUGACAUUAGCUAGUUGGUAGGGUAACGGCUUACCAAGGCGACGAUGUCUAGGGGCUCUGAGAGGAGAAUCCCCCACACUGGUACUGAGACACGGACAAGACUCCUACGGGAGGCAGCAGUAAGGAAUAUUGGUCAAUGGGCGGAAGCCUGAACCAGCCAUGCCGCGUGCAGGAAGACUGCCCUAUGGGUUGUAAACUGCUUUUGUCCAGGAAUAAACCUAGAUACGUGUAUCUAGCUGAAUGUACUGGAAGAAUAAGGAUCGGCUAACUCCGUGCCAGCAGCCGCGGUAAUACGGAGGAUCCGAGCGUUAUCCGGAUUUAUUGGGUUUAAAGGGUGCGUAGGCGGCCUAUUAAGUCAGGGGUGAAAUACGGUGGCUCAACCAUCGCAGUGCCUUUGAUACUGAUGGGCUUGAAUCCAUUUGAAGUGGGCGGAAUAAGACAAGUAGCGGUGAAAUGCAUAGAUAUGUCUUAGAACUCCGAUUGCGAAGGCAGCUCACUAAGCUGGUAUUGACGCUGAUGCACGAAAGCGUGGGGAUCGAACAGGAUUAGAUACCCUGGUAGUCCACGCCCUAAACGAU
rnacentral:rRNA from 1 species